rnacentral:rRNA from 1 species
UACGUAGGGGGCAAGCGUUGUCCGGAUUUAUUGGGCGUAAAGAGCGUGUAGGCGGUUUGGUAGGUCCGCUGUGAAAACUCGAGGCUCAACCUCGAGACGCCGGUGGAAACCAUCAGGCUAGAGUCCGGAAGAGGAGAGUGGAAUUCCUGGUGUAGCGGUGAAAUGCGCAGAUAUCAGGAGGAACACCUAUUGCGAAGGCAGCUCGCUGGGACGUAACUGACGCUGAGACGCGAAAGCGUGGGUAGCAAACAGG